rnacentral:rRNA from 1 species
GACGAACGCUGGCGGCGUGCUUAACACAUGCAAGUCGAGCGAUGAAGCUCCUUCGGGAGUGGAUUAGCGGCGGACGGGUGAGUAACACGUGGGUAACCUGCCUCAUAGAGGGGAAUAGCCUUCCGGAAGGAAGAUUAAUACCGCAUAAGAUUGUAGUACCGCAUGGUACAGCAAUUAAAGGAGCAAUCCGCUAUGAGAUGGACCCGCGUCGCAUUAGCUAGUUGGUGAGGUAACGGCUCACCAAGGCGACGAUGCGUAGCCGACCUGAGAGGGUGAUCGGCCACAUUGGGACUGAGACACGGCCCAGACUCCUACGGGAGGCAGCAGUGGGGAAUAUUGCACAAUGGGGGAAACCCUGAUGCAGCAACGCCGCGUGAGUGAUGAAGGUCUUCGGAUUGUAAAACUCUGUCUUCGGGGACGAUAAUGACGGUACCUGAGGAGGAAGCCACGGCUAACUACGUGCCAGCCGCCGCGGUAAAAC